rnacentral:rRNA from 1 species
CCCUUAGAUGUCCGGGGCUGCACGCGCGCUACACUGAAGGAAUCAGCGUGCUAAAACCAUUGUCGAAAGGCAUUGGUAAACCCAUUAAAAUCCUACGUGAUUGGGAUCGGGAAUUGCAAUUAUUUCCCUUGAACGAGGAAUUCCCAGUAAGUGUGGGUCAUAAGCUCGCGUUGAUUACGUCCCUGCCCUUUGUACACACCGCCCGUCGCUGCCCGGGACUGAGCCGUUUCGAGAAAAGCGGGGACUGCUGCUGUCGGGGCUUUCGGGCCUUGGCUUCGGUGGAAACCGCUUUAAUCGCAGUGGCUUGAACCGGGCAAAAGUCAUAACA